rnacentral:rRNA from 1 species
GUGAGGAAUUUUCCGCAAUGGGCGAAAGCCUGACGGAGCAAUGCCGCGUGAAGGAUGAAGGCCUAUGGGUUGUAAACUUCUUUUCUCAGAAAAGAAUUAUGACGGUAUCUGAGGAAUAAGCAUCGGCUAACUCUGUGCCAGCAGCCGCGGUAAGACAGAGGAUGCAAGCGUUAUCCGGAAUGAUUGGGCGUAAAGCGUCUGUAGGUUGUUUAAAAAGUAUUCUGUCAAAGAUUAGGGCUUAACCCUAGAUAGGCAGAAUAAACUUUUAAGCUAGAGUUUGGUAGAGGCAGAGGGAAUUCCCGGUGGAGCGGUGAAAUGCGUAGAUAUCGGGAGGAACACCAAAGGCGAAGGCACUCUGCUGGGCCAAUACUAACAUUGAGAGACGAAAGCGAGGGGAGCAAAUGGGAUUAGAAACCCUGGUAGUCC